rnacentral:rRNA from 1 species
AUACGGAGGGUGCAAGCGUUGUUCGGAAUUAUUGGGCGUAAAGAGCAUGUAGGCGGACUGUUAAGUCUGGUGGGAAAGCCCGGGGCUCAACCCCGGAAGUGCAUUGGAUACUGGCAGUCUUGAGUAUGGGAGAGGAAAGUGGAAUUCCGAGUGUAGGAGUGAAAUCCGUAGAUAUUCGGAGGAACACCAGUGGCGAAGGCGGCUUUCUGGACCAAUACUGACGCUGAGAUGCGAAAGCGUGGGGAGCGAACAGGAUUAGAAACCCUUGUAGUCC